rnacentral:rRNA from 1 species
GGUCAAGUUGUGUAGGGCACAUGGUGGAUGUCUUGGCACUAGGAGCCGAUGAAGGACGUGGGAGGCUGCGUUAAGCCUCGGGGAGCUGUCAACCGAGCUGUGAUCCGAGGAUGUCCGAAUGGGGAAACCCGGCACCCGUGAUGGGGUGUCACCCGCUGGUGAAUGUAUAGCCGGUGUGGAGGGAACGCGGGGAAGUGAAACAUCUCAGUACCCGCAGGAAGAGAAAACAACCGUGAUUCCGUGAGUAGUGGCGAGCGAAAGCGGAUGAGGCUAAACCGUGCACAUGUCAAGCUGUCAGGUGUUGUGUGUGCGGGGUUGUGGGAGCCACUGUCCGGGGGCUGACACCCUCGGUGAUGCUGUGUGUGGUUAGCGGAACACGUUGGGAUGCGUGGCCGGAGUGGGUGAGAGUCCCGUACGCGAAAACUGCAUGUCAGUGUUGGUGUGGUGUUCCCGAGUAGCAGCGAGCUCGUGGAAUUCGCUGUGAAUCCGCCGGGACCACCCGGUAAGCCUAAAUACUUCCUAGUGACCGAUAGCGGACGAGUACCGUGAGGGAAAGAUGAAAAGUACCCCGGGAGGGGAGUGAAAGAGUACCUGAAACCGUGUGCCUGCAAGCCGUCAGAGCCCUGUAUGGGGUGAUGGCGUGCCUUUUGAAGAAUGAGCCUGCGAGUUAGUGCUACGUGGCGAGGUUAACCCGUGUGGGGUAGCCGGAGCGAAAGCGAGUCUGAACAGGGCGAGUGAGUCGCGUGGUCUAGACCCGAAGCGGAGUGAUCUACCCAUGGCCAGGGUGAAGCGCCGGUAAGACGGCGUGGAGGCCCGAACCCACCAGGGUUGAAAACCUGGGGGAUGAGCUGUGGGUAGGGGUGAAAGGCCAAUCAAACUCCGUGAUAGCUGGUUCUCCCCGAAAUGCAUUUAGGUGCAGCGUCGCGUGUUUCUCAUCUGGGGUAGAGCUACUGGAUGGCCUAGGGGGCUUACCGGCUUACCGAAGUCAACCAAACUCCGAAUACAGGUGUGUGAGAGCGCGGCAGUGAGACGGCGGGGGAUAAGCUUCGUCGUCGAGAGGGAAACAGCCCAGAACACCAGCUAAGGCCCCUAAGUGUGUGCUCAGUGGGAAAGGAUGUGGAGUCGCAGAGACAACCAGGAGGUUGGCUUAGAAGCAGCCAUCCUUGAAAGAGUGCGUAAUAGCUCACUGGUCAAGUGGUUCUGCGCCGACAAUGUAGCGGGGCUUAAGCACACCGCCGAAGCUGUGUCACUCACACAAGUGAUCGGCACCGGCCCUUCGGGGUGGGUGUCCAGUCGUGUGGGUGGGUAGGGGAGCGUCCCGCAUCCAGCGAAGCCGCCGGGGAACCGAGUGGUGGAGGGUGUGGGAGUGAGAAUGCAGGCAUGAGUAGCGAAUGCAGAGUGAGAAUCUCUGCCGCCGGAUGACCAAGGGUUCCUGGGCCAGGUUGUUCCGCCCAGGGUAAGUCGGGACCUAAGGCGAGGCCGACAGGCGUAGUCGAUGGACAACGGGUUGAUAUUCCCGUACCCGCGUGUGUGCGUCCCUGGUGAGGCAGGUGAGACUAACCACCCGCCCGGUAUCGUGGUCUCUUCGGAGGCCUGGUGCUUGGGUGCGUGGGACCUGAGCUUGUAGUAGCCAAGCGAUGGGGUGACGCAGGAAGGUAGCCCCGCCAGUCAGUGGUAAUACUGGUGUAAGCGUGUGGCCCGCAGAGCAGGGAAAUCCGUUCUGCUGUCUUCGAUGACGAGGGUGAGGCGUGAUGCAUAGCCGUUGUGGCGAAGUAGGGUGAUCCUCAGCUGCCGAGAAAAGCCUCUAGCGAGUGUACGCGUGGCCCGUACCCCAAACCGACACAGGUGGUCAGGUAGAGAAUACCAAGGCGAUCGGGUGAACUGUGGUUAAGGAACUCGGCAAAUUGCCCCCGUAACUUCGGGAGAAGGGGGGCCAAAACACCUGAAGCCCUGCGCGGGCUAGGGUGGGUUGGCCGCAGAGACCAGCGGAAAGCGACUGUUUACUAAAAACACAGGUCCAUGCGAAGACGUAAGUCGAUGUAUAUGGACUGACGCCUGCCCGGUGCUGGAACGUUAAGAGGACCGGUUAACCCUCCUUGUGGGGGUGAAGCUGAGAAUUUAAGCGCCAGUAAACGGCGGUGGUAACUAUAACCAUCCUAAGGUAGCGAAAUUCCUUGUCGGGUAAGUUCCGACCUGCACGAAUGGCGUAACGACUUUCCGGCUGUCUCAACCACAGGCCCGGCGAAAUUGCACUACGAGUAAAGAUGCUCGUUUCGCGCGGCAGGACGGAAAGACCCCGGGACCUUUACUAUAGCUUGGUAUUGGUUUUCGGUUCGGCUUGUGUAGGAUAGGUGGGAGACUGGGAAGCGGUCACGCUAGUGAUCGUGGAGUCAUCGUUGAAAUACCACUCUGGCCGGAUUGGGAAUCUAACCUCGGACCGUGAUCCGGUUCAGGGACAGUGCCUGGUGGGUAGUUUAACUGGGGCGGUUGCCUCCCAAAGAGUAACGGAGGCGCCCAAAGGUUCCCUCAGCCUGGUUGGCAAUCAGGUGUCGAGUGUAAGUGCACAAGGGAGCUUGACUGUGAGACUGGCAGGUCGAGCAGGUGCGAAAGCAGGGACUAGUGAUCCGGCACCUCCUGGUGGAAGGGGUGUCGCUCAACGGAUAAAAGGUACCCCGGGGAUAACAGGCUGAUCUUGCCCAAGAGUCCAUAUCGACGGCAUGGUUUGGCACCUCGAUGUCGGCUCGUCGCAUCCUGGGGCCGGAGUAGGUCCCAAGGGUUGGGCUGUUCGCCCAUUAAAGCGGCACGCGAGCUGGGUUUAGAACGUCGUGAGACAGUUCGGUCCCUAUCCGCCGCGCGCGUUGGAGACUUGAGGAAGGCUGUCCCUAGUACGAGAGGACCGGGACGGACGAACCUCUGGUAUGCCAGUUGUCCCACCAGGGGCACGGCUGGUUAGCUACGUUCGGAAGGGAUAACCGCUGAAGGCAUCUAAGCGGGAAGCCUGUUCCAAGAUGAGGUCUCCCACCACCAUCGAGUGGGUAAGGCCCCCCAAAGACGAUGGGGUUGAUAGGCCAGACAUGGAAGCACAGCAAUGUGUUCUCGAGUGGACUGGUACUAAUCGGCCGAGGGCUUGACCAC